rnacentral:tRNA from 1 species
GGAGCGAUGUCGGAGUGGUUUAUCGAGCUGGUUUUGAAAACCAGUGUGGCGUCAGCCACCGGGGGUUCGAAUCCCUCUCGCUCCGCCA